rnacentral:lncRNA from 1 species
UUAUUCCUCUCGUGCGGGUUACUUACGGCCUUCCUAUCGCAAUUAAGGUACGGACUCUAAGCAACUUAUGUGGGCAAAUUGGAACAUUUUAUAGAAACUCCUUUGACUGCCCAUAUCCCUCCCCUCUACGUUCACUUACUUUUCCGACGUAAAAUCCAUCAUCCGCUAAUCACUGAAUCAAUUACGGAUGACUUGCCAAACAAACUCCAUCUCGAACCAAGAAAAAUCGAGAUUCGGUCACGCGUUUUCAAGCUGUCUUAGUUUCCUAUUUUGAGUUCAAUCAUCGGCCUAAAUUAGACGAGAUUCCUAAGCGAUAAACUGCGUCUGGAGACCUAUAAGUAGAGGUGGUGCUUACUCGUUACGAACACGCCUCUCACCUUUCUGUUCCUCACCCCAAAUCGGCCCCUUUUGUCAAGUUCCGCCGCCGCCGCAAGUACUCCGACGAAACCAGUAACCAUCGAACUGAUUGAGGAUUUGCAACAUUUAUUCCUCUCGUGCGGGUUACUUACGGCCUUCCUAUCGCAAUUAAG